CGCCCAGCAGCUAGCCCCCUCCCCCAAAAACAACAAAAACUUAUUUAUAAACCCAAAAACACUACAAUUAAAAAACAAACCAUUUUACCUCCCUAAGUAUAGGCGAUAGAAAAG
rnacentral:rRNA from 1 species